GGGCUAUGCGGCAGCCUACCAUGCAAGUCGAACGGUAGCACAGAGAGCUUGCUCUCGGGUGACGAGUGGCGGACGGGUGAGUAAUGUCUGGGAAACUGCCUGAUGGAGGGGGAUAACUACUGGAAACGGUAGCUAAUACCGCAUAACGUCGCAAGACCAAAGAGGGGGACCUUCGGGCCUCUUGCCAUCAGAUGUGCCCAGAUGGGAUUAGCUAGUAGGUGGGGUAACGGCUCACCUAGGCGACGAUCCCUAGCUGGUCUGAGAGGAUGACCAGCCACACUGGAACUGAGACACGGUCCAGACUCCUACGGGAGGCAGCAGUGGGGAAUAUUGCACAAUGGGCGCAAGCCUGAUGCAGCCAUGCCGCGUGUAUGAAGAAGGCCUUCGGGUUGUAAAGUA
rnacentral:rRNA from 1 species